rnacentral:lncRNA from 1 species
CUACUGUUAAGAAUUGUAAUAUAAAUAUCAAUAUGCAGGAUAUAUUAUAUUUGACCCCUGUGAAAGGGUUGUUUAACACCCCGCACCUCCACUGAGGGUUUUUGACCCACAGGUUGAGAACCACUGCUCUUGGUGUUUCUUAGCCUCUUCAUGUUUAUUUAGUGGCUGGGUGCUGGAAAGGGAAUGUAAAAUGCAUGAGAAAUGUCUGGUUCAGCUUUAGGCAGCAGGAAAGUGACCUGUAACAGUGAUGGCUGACUCCAACAGCAAGCUGCGUGCCCCUGGGACGUGCAGUACUCCAAGGGUGGAGGCCUUUAGCUUCACUUCCUUGAUACCUCACCAGAGUUUUAGAAAUCCCUCAGGAGUGUCUGGCUGGUUGAACCUGCUCCACUAGGGCAAGGACUGUCAUCUACCCACUCAUCCAGCCUCCUCCUCCAACACUUCAUCCUAGUUCCAUGCAGCUGUAUGUCUCUUGGACUGCUCUAAAUCCUAUCUUCCUCUAUUGCAAGUGUACAGUAGUUAUCUGCCUGUUACCCUUAUAAAAAUUCCUUGGCCAAGAUUUUUAUUUUUUAUUUUUAAGACAGUCUUAUGUAGCCUAGGCUGUCCCUACACAGCUAAACUUACUGUGUAGGCAAGUGUGACUUCAAACUUCUGGUCUUUUUGUUUCUGCCUUCUGAGUGUUGGAAUUACAGGCAUGCACCAAUGCACUUGGUUUAUGCUGUGCUGGAAAUGAAGCUUAGGACCUUAUAUACAGUAUGCAAGGACUCUGCCCACUGAACUAUGUCCUCGGUGCCUGAACAAUCAUGUUGUACAUAUCUAGAACCUAUUCUGGGCACUACAGAUGAAUCACUGAGUGGCAGAGGCACUGUGCAGCCUUGGAAGCUUUAUACCUGGUGAAGAAGCACAUUAUACAACAGGUUGAUGUUGUUCCUGUGUUCUCUGUGACUGCCUUCUGAGAGGACAGUUGCAGCCCUGCAUAGUGUCUUGUCAGUGAGCAUUUAUAUUGCUUUAAAGUAAUCUUUUGAUUUCAGUAUAUCCCAAAAGUUAAUGGGGGGAAUAAGUGUAACAAUAUUUAUGAAGCCAGAGGAUACACAGCUCAUAUUUAACAACAGGGCAUGAACUUUGGCUCUAACUGUUUUCUGGAAUCUCCUUAGCUGCUGACAUGCUCCAGGCUUCACAGGCCAGAGUGCUGUGACUGAAUAGGGGACAAUGUUAAUGGUUCUUAGCCUCUAGACCCUCUCACUUAUCUCUAAUUUUGUGUUCAUAGUUAAUUUUUUCUUAAAAGAUCUUCUUUCUAAACUAUCAAUCCUCAGAAUUCCUAAAACUUGGAUCAGCUUCUCCCUGAAAAAAGAUGAUGGAAGUGCUGGUGUUGGCCAUGUGAUAAAAUGUUGGGGGCAGUGCUGGGUGAUGCAGAUCAAAAGCAUCCUAGAGAGGCCUGAAACCCAGGUAGGUAGGUAGGUAGGUAGGUGUGUGUGUGUGUGUGUGUGUGUGAUAUUCCUAAAAAAUAAUAAUAAAAAAAGACUUCAACCAGUUAGUUAUGUUGAAGAACACUUUGUAGACAGAAAACAGGCCACUAGUGU